rnacentral:rRNA from 1 species
GACGAACGCUGGCGGCGUGCUUAACACAUGCAAGUCGAGCGGUAAGGCCCUUUGGGGUACACGAGCGGCGAACGGGUGAGUAACACGUGAGUAAUCUGCCUUUGGCUUGGGAAUAACUUCGGGAAAUCGGGGCUAAUGCCUGAUGUUUACUGUCUGCUGCAUGGUGGGUGGUGGAAAGAUUUUUUGGCCAGGGAUGAGUUCGCGGUCUAUCAGCUUGUUGGUGGGGUAAUGGCUUACCAAGGCUUUGACGGGUAGCCGGCCUGAGAGGGUGUUCGGCCACACUGGGACUGAGACACGGCCCAGACUCCUACGGGAGGCAGCAGUGGGGAAUAUUGCGCAAUGGGCGUAAGCCUGACGCAGCGACGCCGCGU